CCUUCGAAAGCUCAGUUGGUGGAGCAGGGGACUUGGGAUUUAUAACUCUGAUUCCUAGGUCGCUGGUUCGAAUCCAGGUCGAAGAA
rnacentral:tRNA from 1 species